UGGGGAAUUUUGGACAAUGGGCGAAAGCCUGAUCCAGCAAUGCCGCGUGUGUGAAGAAGGCCUUCGGGUUGUAAAGCACUUUUGUCCGGAAAGAAAUCCUUGGCUCUAAUACAGUCGGGGGAUGACGGUACCGGAAGAAUAAGCACCGGCUAACUACGUGCCAGCAGCCGCGGUAAUACGUAGGGUGCAAGCGUUAAUCGGAAUUACUGGGCGUAAAGCGUGCGCAGGCGGUUUGCUAAGACCGAUGUGAAAUCCCCGGGCUCAACCUGGGAACUGCAUUGGUGACUGGCAGGCUAGAGUAUGGCAGAGGGGGGUAGAAUUCCACGUGUAGCAGUGAAAUGCGUAGAGAUGUGGAGGAAUACCGAUGGCGAAGGCAGCCCCCUGGGCCAAUACUGACGCUCAUGCACGAAAGCGUGGGGAGCAAACAGGAUUAGAUACCCUGGUAGUCCACGCCCUAAACGAUGUCAACUAGUUGUUGGGGAUUCAUUUCCUUAGUAACGUAGCUAACGCGUGAAGUUGACCGCCUGGGGAGUACGGUCGCAAAGA
rnacentral:rRNA from 1 species